AGAGUUUGAUCAUGGCUCAGGAUGAACGCUAGCUACAGGCUUAACACAUGCAAGUCGAGGGGAAACGACAUCGAAAGCUUGCUUUUGAUGGGCGUCGACCGGCGCACGGGUGAGUAACGCGUAUCCAACCUGCCCACCACUUGGGGAUAACCUUGCGAAAGUAAGACUAAUACCCAAUGACGUCUCUAGAAGACAUCUGAAAGAGAUUAAAGAUUUAUCGGUGAUGGAUGGGGAUGCGUCUGAUUAGCUUGUUGGCGGGGUAGCGGCCACCAAGGCGACGAUCAGUAGGGGUUCUGAGAGGAAGGUCCCCCANAUUGGAACUGAGACACGGUCCAAACUCCUAGGGAGCA
rnacentral:rRNA from 1 species